CCAGACUCCUACGGGAGGCAGCAGUGAGGAAUAUUGGUCAAUGGCCGGAAGGCUGAACCAGCCAAGCCGCGUGAAGGACGAAGGUGCCAAGCAUUGUAAACUUCUUUUGUCAAGGGACAAAAUCAGGCUCGAGAGCCUGACCGAGGGUACUUGAAGAAAAAGCAUCGGCUAACUCCGUGCCAGCAGCCGCGGUAAUACGGAGGAUGCGAGCGUUAUCCGGAUUUAUUGGGUUUAAAGGGUGCGUAGGCGGAUUGUUAGGUCGGGGGUAAACGCCGGGGGCUCACCCCCGGCGAGCCGUUGAAACUGGCUGUCUUGAGAUGUCGAGAGGUAUGCGGAAUGCGCAGUGUAGCGGUGAAAUGCUUAGAUAUCACGCAGAACUCCGAUUGCGAAGGCAGCAUACCGGCGCCCAACUGACGCUGAAGCACGAAAGCGUGGGUAUCGAACAGGAUUAGAUACCCGUGUA
rnacentral:rRNA from 1 species